rnacentral:lncRNA from 1 species
AUUGGAAGAUGUGUAAGAGUCCUGACUACAGCAGGGAGUGUGGGAUCAGGAUUCAUGAAUGGGACUGGAACUCCAGGAGGGUAGAGUGUACCUUGGGCUCUACUGCAAUCUUGGUAAACAACCUAUGAACUUCAGGAAAUUCACAGGCUUCUUCAAUGAAGAAAGCAGCUGGCAGGGGGUGACAGAAUUUUAGAGGGUCUUACACCUUUCAUGUGACAAACCUGUCUACGUAGCUGCAGACUGCAGAGUGAGGGCAUUUCCUGGUAGGCUGG